rnacentral:tRNA from 1 species
GCUUUAUAAUUUAUUUAAAAUAUCUACCUUGAAAGUAGAAUAAGAAUUUAUUAUGUUCUAAAGCUUA